rnacentral:rRNA from 1 species
CAAAACCUUCAACAACGGAUCUCUAGGUUCUGGCAUCGAUGAAGAACGCAGCGAAACGCGAUAUAUAGUGUGAAUUGCAGAACUCAGUGAAUCAUCGAGAUUUUGAACGCAUAUUGCGCCUGCUAUAAUUGUGGCAGGCAUGCCUGUUCGAGCUUCAUUA